UGUCCUUCCAAUCUCGCUCUCGUGAGGAGCUCGGAUCCACGAUUGGAGAAAUGCUUCUGAUGGUAAGUUAUUUUUUCACUUCUCUUUGAGUUUGCUUUGUUUCUUUUCUUGACAAUUGUUCUUUCGUACUAGGUGUUAGGCCUGGUUAUGGAGGUGGAUGCCCGUGACCUCUCUCUCCGGGAGUCCGUGGACCGCCGGAUCGAGGAAGCGCGUCGCGAUGAAAACCUGACUGCCACCAGCGACGCGAGGGGCCACCUGGCAGCCGCCCGGGAGCAGAUCCAGUCUCUCCGAGUGGAGUUGCAUUCUGCGCUGGAGGCCUCUAAAAGAGCUGAGGACAGAGCGGCUGAGGCGGCAGAACAUAGCAAAUCCCUGGAAUCAGAGCUGUCUCGUACUCGCAGGGUUCUCCAGGAGUCCGAUGGGAGGGCAGCUGAGGUGGAAGCUCGUUGUGUAGAGGUUGUAAAGCAGCUGUCCUCUAUGACAGCGGCCCUUCAGGAGAGG
rnacentral:lncRNA from 1 species